AAGAAAUGCUUGAUUUGAAACCAUAGCAACUUGUAUUCCUUGCUGAACUAAGUAAUGGCCUCAAGAACAUACAUUCAUUUUACUGAAAUCAGACGAUUCAAACCCACUGACGAUGAAUAAAUAUUUCAUUGGGAAACGUGAGAAAACAUGUAUUCAUCCAAGAUGCUCCCCAUUGGCUGAACCCAGAGCCCAGAGGAGUGCAGUGGUGUAGCCCAUACAGGCCAGGCCAGUCUACUGAGGAAGAAAGUCAGAUAGAAAGGAGGAUCGAGUCAACCCAGUGCUCUAUACCUUCAGACAUAUCUUGUUGUCCUUAUAGACAUACGGAGUGGAACAGUGGCUACCAGAGCCUUGGAAGGGAAGGAUUCAGAAUGGAUACGGAAAGUUGGCAAAAAGUAUAAAGUGACAAGUUCUGGUAUUGUAUCUCACAAUAGGGUUACUAUAGUUGACAAUGUAUUAUAUAUAUUAAUAUAACCACAAAGGAUGUUUUUAAUUAUUUCACCAUAAAGAAAUGUUGACAUAUGAGGUGAUCAUUAGAUAAUGUAUAUGUUAGUCAAAAUAUAUUAUACCCCAUGAGUAUGUAUAAUUAAUACAUAUGACUGAAAAAUUAUGAAAAGAGAUAUACUCUUCAAAUGAACUCAAUGAAUUCAGAUUGCCUGUUUUUUUUCUUACUUGUAACAUUUGGGUUAAGGAUAGGCUAAUUUGUAUUAGAAUGAUCAACUUUUAUCUUAGAGUUACAUAUUGUCUUAAAGAAGUUGAAAUUAAAUAGUAUCAAAAUUGAGGACAAUUUGGAAAGUUGAAUCCAAUUAGUGUUUUUGUAAUGGAAACAAGUAAGGAAUAAUUGUCUUUCAUUCAGUGGACUAAUUAUAUCUUUCCCCAAGCUGAUCUUUUUAGUUACAAGGCUAUGCUAUUGAGAUUCAUAUUGUUUAAAAUAAUUCAUGCAUUUCCCUCGUGUCAUUUAAACUUGUAUAUACAUGGGAUGUCACCUCAAAUAUGAAAUGAGUUUAUUUUAUGGUACUAAGAUCCAGAAGAUGUAGCAGGCUUUUUCUGUGCUGCCACCAGCUCCCAAAUAAAGACAUGGGGACUUAUUAUUAAUUAUGAAUUCUCAGCCUUAGUUUAGGCUUGUUUCUGGCUAGCCAUUUAAACUUAAAUUAAAAUGUUUCUCUUCAUCUGUAUUUUGCCUCUGGGCUUUGUACCUUUCAUUCUGUAUGUCUUACUUUUCUGCUUCCUCCGUGUCUGGCUGGCUGGAGGCUGCCUGGCUGACUGGCCCCAGGCAUCUUCCCUCUUUCAACCUCAUUCUAUCCUCUCUCCUCCUAUUUUUUCUCUCUACUCACCAGCCCUACCUAUCCCUCUACAGCCUAGCUAUUGGCCAUUCAGCUUUUUAUUAGACCAAUCAGGUGCCUUAGGCAGGCAAAGUAAAAUAGCAACACAUCUUUACAUAAUUAAACAAAUGCAGCAUAAACAAAUGUAACACAUCUUUACAUAGUUAAAGUAAUAUUCCACAACAAAAAGACACAAAUAUUAAUAUAAUAAUGGUUUGGUUGAAUAAAAAGCUAACUGAAAGUUUAUGCAACUCCCAAGUUAUAGUUAACAUAUGUUCAAAGAAAGGAAUGAGAAAUGGGCAAUAUGUCUAUUAAGUUCUGAGACAAAAGAUUGAGACUAAACUUCUUAGUACACUUUAUACCUGUUCCUAUUUACCUUGCUAGCCAUAAAACAAAAAAAUAAAAAACAAACAAACAAAAAACCCUUGGUCUUUCAAAGACAAAAAUAAAAUGAGAAUACAGUCAAGGCAAUUCCUGAAGUGCUUAAGUCUUUCUGUUCAUUUGAGAGCUUUCCUUUACUUAAUCAUCCUUUUUUGAAAAAGAAGCAAACUAUGAUGAAGACAAGUAAUUUCCAUGGUCAUUAGAU